CCUACGGGGUGCAGCAGUGGGGAAUAUUGCGCAAUGGGCGAAAGCCUGACGCAGCGACGCCGCGUGAGGGAUGAAGGUCUUCGGAUCGUAAACCUCUGUCAGCAGGGAAGAACGGUCACUGUGCUAAUCAGCAGUGAAUUGACGGUACCUGCAAAGGAAGCACCGGCUAACUCCGUGCCAGCAGCCGCGGUAAUACGGAGGGUGCGAGCGUUAAUCGGAAUUACUGGGCGUAAAGCGCUCGUAGGCGGUAUGUCAAGUCAAGGGUGAAAUCCCCGCGCUCAACGUGGGAACUGCCUUUGAAACUGGCAAACUGGAGUGUGUGAGAGGAUAGUGGAAUUCCAGGUGUAGGAGUGAAAUCCGUAGAUAUCGCGCAGAACUCCGAUUGCGAAGGCAGCAUGCCGGCUCCACACUGACGCUGAGGCACGAAAGCGUGGGUAUCGAACAGGAUUAGAUACCCUUGUAGUC
rnacentral:rRNA from 1 species